CUGCCUGGGGAAUGGUUUUGAGGAAUGCUUGUACAAUACAGGCGUGCUGACCGUAUAGAGAGCUCCGUACAAGGAGGGUGCCUCUGGAUAUGCUAAAGAAACCCCAAAGUGGGGAACACGACACAGAGACCUUUAGCUCUGCCAUUGCAAUACCCUUCCCAAGACAGCAGAGGAGAGAUGAGAAGAAGAGACAACCUUCUGGAAAAGAGGGACUCAUUUCCCAAGUGGAUGCAGAAGCAAAGCUGCUACGUGUGUGCUUCAAGGUAAUAGGGGGUGGCAGCAACCAGAGAUAGCAGUUGAGGAGAUGUGAGAUUACUGGAAAAGGUCCUGGAGGAGGCAAAAAUAAGGUGCAGAAGAGCAUGAAUGAAGGGUGAUAAUUUGCCAUGCUCUUUCUACCUAGCCCUGCUUAGGUGCAGCCUAGCCCUCAACACAGAUUUGUCCCAGUGUCCAAUCUGGAGGAGGGGAAGACAGGUGAAGGUGAGCAUCUGCUUCUACCUUACCACCAGUAUCUCUGUCUGCAAGGAAGCUCUUCCAUAUGCCCCACUCUGGUUCCCCUUCCCAGUUCCCACUGCAGCUUCUUCACUCAGGGAAGGGUUGUGCCAUGAAGAGGGUGUUGUGGUUUACUGUCCCAGGCCCCACUGUUUAUCAGGCAUCAGUUGUCCCAGCUAGUGGCAUAGAAAGAUUUAAUUUAACUGAGAGCAUGAAAACCACAACCUGGAGCAAAGCAGCUUCUGUAGUGUGACUUAAUUUCAGAGCAAAUGAACUGGGAUCAAAAAAGGUCAUGGUGACAAAGCGGAGUUAAAAGCUGACUUAGAUCAACAUGCUCAACCAAUUGAGAAACAAAGGGAAUAAGGAAAUAACGUGACAAAUUCAAAAAUCAAUAAACAGGUUGCGGUUAAUGUGCA